CCCUGGCAAAUGCAUUUUUAACAAACCCUCCAGGAAAGUCUGAUGUACACCAAAGUUUCAAGGCGGCAUUCAGAAGUGAGACAAAAUGGGAUGCACCAUGGAUCCAUGAAUCCUAGGAAGUUGUGUGACACUGGGUUAUGAGCUGCAUUAAAGAAAUGAGAAUUGGAAAUUGAUGCUGGAAUGUAUUUGAGUUAUCUUUGCAGCCACGGAUGGCUUUGAAUUAUAUAAUCAUGCUUUUCUGGUUCAUGUUUAUCUCCAUUGUUAAUUAAAAAUACUUAUUUUUCAAUUUGGAAUUGCA